rnacentral:rRNA from 1 species
AGGAUGAACGCUAGCUACAGGCUUAACACAUGCAAGUCGAGGGGCAUCAGUUUGGUUUGCUUGCAAACCAAAGCUGGCGACCGGCGCACGGGUGAGUAACACGUAUCCAACCUGCCUCAUACUCGGGGAUAGCCUUUCGAAAGAAAGAUUAAUAUCCGAUAGCAUAUAUUUCCCGCAUGGGUUUUAUAUUAAAGAAAUUCGGUUAUCGAUGGGGAUGCGUUCCAUUAGUUUGUUGGCGGGGUAACGGCCCACCAAGACUACGAUGGAUAGGGGUUCUGAGAGGAAGGUCCCCCACAUUGGAACUGAGACACGGUCCAAACUCCUACGGGAGGCAGCAGUGAGGAAUAUUGGUCAAUGGACGAGAGUCUGAACCAGCCAAGUAGCGUGAAGGAUGACUGCCCUAUGGGUUGUAAACUUCUUUUAUAUGGGAAUAAAGUAUUCCACGUGUGGGAUUUUGUAUGUACCAUAUGAAUAAGGAUCGGCUAACUCCGUGCCAGCAGCCGCGGUAAUACGGAGGAUCCGAGCGUUAUCCGGAUUUAUUGGGUUUAAAGGGAGCGUAGGUGGAUUGUUAAGUCAGUUGUGAAAGUUUGCGGCUCAACCGUAAAAUUGCAGUUGAAACUGGCAGUCUUGAGUACAGUAGAGGUGGGCGGAAUUCGUGGUGUAGCGGUGAAAUGCUUAGAUAUCACGAAGAACUCCGAUUGCGAAGGCAGCUCACUAGACUGCAACUGACACUGAUGCUCGAAAGUGUGGGUAUCAAACAGGAUUAGAUACCCUGGUAGUCCACACAGUNAACGAUGAAUACUCGCUGUUUGCGAUAUACAGUAAGCGGCCAAGCGAAAGCAUUAAGUAUUCCACCUGGGGAGUACGCCGGCAACGGUGAAACUCAAAGG